UCCAAGAAUCAGUGGGUAAUUGGUCAUUGGGGGUCAGAACUAUGACUAGAGUAGUUGUAGCGAGUCUAGAGAUGGUGAAGUUUGUUGAGUUGGAAGAACAAGAGAGAAACUUGCGAGAUGUUUCUCUAAUCUACAAGAGGUGGCUUCGUGAACUGCUGGAGAUCUAAAGGAAUUUAAGGAAGACAUGAUGAAGAAAACUGAAGGUCAGAAUUUAUCUUAGAAGAAUUGCGAACCUAUAUGAGUGUUGGAAAGAGUAAGGGAGCUAACAGUUCUAGCGAAUGUGGAAGUAGAUGUACUUACCUAAUUAACUCUUCUUGUAGGUGGAUCAUUCCUUACUCCAAACUGCUGUGAAUUUGUAGCCAUGUUUGAUAUCAAGUUCUUUGCUGCUUCAGGUAUCUUAUCUACCAAAGCACCUCUAUUAACUGUAUCUAUCAUGCCUUUGUUAGUAGGAAGAAGACCUUCAUAAAAAUAUUGAACGAGUAGUUGGUCACUUAUUUGAUGAUGUGGGCAACUUGCACGCAAUCUAUUGAAUCUCUCUCAAUACUCAUGCAAUGACUCCCUAUUAUACUGCCUAAUGUCACAAAUUUCUUUUCUAAUGUUGGCUGCCCUUGAAGCUAGAAAGUACUUCUCUAAGAAUAGCCUCUUCAUGUCAUUCCAUAUGUUUAUGAAAUCAGAAGGUAGGUGGUAGAGCCAAUCUUUAGCUGCAUCUUCCAAUGAGAAUGAGAAUGCUUUCAAUUUAAUUUGCUCCUCUGUAAUACUUGUAGGUUUCAUGCUUAAACACACAACAUGAAACUCCUCAAGGUGUUUGUGAGGAUCAUCACUUGCAAGACUACGAAAAGUAGGCAAUAAGUGAAUUAAGCCAGAUUUUAAUUCAAAAGGCACCGUAAGUGCAGGAUAUUGUAUGCAUAAUGGUUGUUGGUUCAUGUCAGGAGUUGCAAACUCUCUGAUGGUGCGAUUUUCAUUAGCAUGAGCAGCCAUGAUUUCUAAUUCUAAAUCACAUGAUGAAUUUGAAGGUUCUUCCUUAA
rnacentral:misc_RNA from 1 species